GGUCCCGCCUGCCCAGUGACUCUUUAAACGGCCGCGGUAUCCUAACCGUGCAAAGGUAGCAUAAUCACUUGUCCCUUAAAUCGGGACUGGAAUGAACGGCUAAAUGAGGACUAAACUGUCUCUUACAGGCUAGCCAAUGAAAUUGAUUUUCCAGUACAAAAGCUGGAAUAUAACCACAAGACGAGAAGACCCUGUGGAGCUUACAAACCAAAUUCACCAAACAUGUUUUAUCGGUUUUCAGUUGGGGCGACUUCGGAGUACAAAAUAACCUCCAAACAUAAAACUAAUUAAGAACAACACAUCAAAAUAUAUUUUAAUGACCCAGCAACCCUUGUGGUUGUCUGAUUAAUGAACCAAGUUACCCCAGGGAUAACAGCGCCAUCCCCUUCUAGAGUCCCUAUCGACAAGGGGGUUUACGACCUCGAUGUUGGAUCAGGACACCCCAAUGGUGCAGCCGCCAUUAACG
rnacentral:rRNA from 1 species